GCUUGGGUGGCCUAGUUGUUAGAGCAUCUGCCUCGCAUGUGGGAGAUCGUGGGUUCGAUCCCAGGUUGAGUU